GACGAACGCUGACGGCGUGCUUAACACAUGCAAGUCGAAGGGAGUGGCGAACGGGUGAGUAACACGUGAGUAACCUGCCCUUUUCUUUGGGAUAAGCCUGGGAAACUGAGUCUAAUACUGGAUGGAUUGGGAUGGGCUCGCGGCUUGUCAGCUGGUUGGUGGGGAGAUGGCUUACCAAGGCUUUGACGGGUAGCCGGCCUGAGAGGGGGGUCGGUCACACUGGGACUGAGAUACGGCCCAGGCUCGUAGGGGGGGCGGCAGUUGGGGAAAUGGCACAAUGGACGAUAGUCUGAUGCAGCGACGUCGUGUGGGGGAUGAGGGCCUUAGGGUUGUAACCUCCUUUCGCACGGGUAAUGGUAGUGGGUAAAGAAGCGCCGGCUAACUACGUGCCAGCAGCCGCGGUAAUUC
rnacentral:rRNA from 1 species